GUGAGUCAUCGAAUCUUUGAACGCACCUUGCGCUCCUUGGUAUUCCUUGGAGCAUGCCUGUUUGAGUAUCAUGAAAUCUUCGAAGUCAAUCUUUUGUUAAUUCAAUUGGUUGUACUUUGGUAUUGGAGGUUUUUGCAGCUUCACACCAACCUGCUCCUCUUUGUGCAUUAGCUGGAUCUCAGUGUUAUGCUUGGUUCCACUCAGCGUGAUAAGUUAUCCAUCGCUGAGGACACUGUAAUAGGUGGCCAAGGUAAAUGCAGAUGAACUGCUUCUAAUAGUCCAUUGGGUUGGACAAUAUUUUUUAUGAUCUGAUCUCAAAUCAGGUAGGACUACCCGCUGAACUUAAGCAUAUCAAUAAGCGGAGG
rnacentral:rRNA from 1 species